AUUGAACGCUGGCGGCAGGCCUAACACAUGCAAGUCGAGCGGAUGAAGGGAGCUUGCUCCUGGAUUCAGCGGCGGACGGGUGAGUAAUGCCUAGGAAUCUGCCUGGUAGUGGGGAUAACGUCCGGAAACGGGCGCUAAUACCGCAUACGUCCUGGUGGAGAAAGUGGGGGAUCUUCGGACCUCCCGCUUUCAGAUGAGCCUAGGUCGGAUUAGCUAGUUGGUGGGGUAAAGGCCUACCAAGGCGACGAUCCGUAACUGGUCUGAGCGGAUGAUCAGUCACACUGGAACUGAGACACGGUCCAGACUCCUACGGGAGGCAGCAGUGAGGAAUAUUGGACAAUGGGCGAAAGCCUGAUCCAGCCAUGCCGCGUGUGUGAAGAAGGUCUUCGGAUUGUAAAGAACUUUAAGUUGGGAGGAAGGGCAGUAAGUUAAUACCUUGCUGUUUUGACGUUACCAACAGAAUAAGCACCGGCUAACUUCGUG
rnacentral:rRNA from 1 species